rnacentral:misc_RNA from 1 species
GUUUACAUAGAAGAUUGAUGAUGCUAAGCAAAACUCCAACUAUAAGAAGGCUUUGUUCUUGGAUUCGAAGAUGAAAUACUCUCCAAGAGCUGAACAUUUCAAGCAUGCCUUCUCAGUUUACAAACCAGACUGAAGACCUCUCCUCCAUUAAACCUCCAAGCCCGAAGUGAAUUCCUUCCAUAAGGAAUGAGAUAAUCAUGUGCGUGUACUUAGAAGUUACUUUCCCUUUUAUUGCUGAAACCUGAUAGCUGUCCUAAUGACCCUGAU